GAGAGUGAAGGGAGAGGGUAGGGAAGGGAGAGGGAGAGCUAGGAAGCGGGUGGGGAGGGUUGAAGAAGACCAACCCAGCUCCACCUGCAGUGCACAGUUGGUCUGUCUCACAUCCAAGGGGACCAGUCUGCCCUGAAAGUAGGCUGCAGAGGCAGUACCCCUCAGACCAGAGUUCUCAAGCUUUAGCUGCGGAGUAAUGAGGAUGGACAGUGUGGGGCAGUUUCUCAGGACCAGCACAGAGAUUUUGAUACAGUAAGUCUAGUCUCAGCUGAGGCCUUAGGGUCUGUAUUAUUAGCAUUGAGAAUGCUGAGGCUGCAGGUGGCCAAUGGUCUACAAGUGGAGAACAGGUGCUGCACGGAUGCAGUGUCUACGUUGGGCGCAUGUCCCCAGAAUGCAGCACAGUGCCUGGCACCAGAAGCGAAUGAAUGAAACGGUGCAUCACCCUGUGGGCCUGAUGCAUCAGUGUAAGGAAGCCAUGCAAUGGAAUCUCAUUUCAUCACAGUCUCCCAGAAGGUUUUUCCAAUGAAGAUGGAGAAAGCCUCAGGAAUGGCUUAAGAGCUGAAGGCUGCUUGAAGUAGACACUUCUUGAGUUUUAAGAAAACAGAACAUCAGAACCAAAAGUCACUAAAAUAAUGACACAACUGCCACACGUGGAGUGGUAUUUGUUUUCUCCUGAGCAAUAGCACUUUGAAACUCUCUUGAAGGCUAUUGGCUGAAGACCAAGAGAUUUGGAAGGGCAGGAGAGAUACUUUUUGUUUUUUCGGCUGUGCCGGGUCUUCGUUGCUUUCGCUUUGGCUUUCUCUAGUUGUGGUGAGCAGGGACUACUCACUCUCUAGCUGUGGUGAGUGGGCUUCUCAUUGCAGUGGCUUCUUUUGUUGCAGAGCACAGGCUCCGGAGUGUGCGGGCUUCAGUAGUUACAACACAUCGGCUCGGAAGUUGUGGCGCAGGGGCUUAAUUGCUCGGAGGCAUGUGGAAUCUUCCCAGACCAGGGAUAGAACCUAUGUCCCCUGCAUUGGCAGGCUGAUUCUUAUCCACUGUGCCAUCAGGGAAGUCCAAGAGAUACAUUUUAAAAAUACUCUAUGACUAGGGCCCUUUAUAGAAAAGUUAACAUGGUGAGUUGAUAAAGAUUCUUAAGAAACUGACAUUUUUAAGACAAAAAAGAGCAAGUCCUUAUUACAGUAUUGUUGUCAGCUUUCUAUGUAAUUUCCUAACAGAGACCAGCAUUCACAGUGGUGAGGAACAGAUUUUUUUUUAGGCAUUUUACUGAAUAAAGGAUAAAAUGCUGGCUUUGCCUUUCCUGCUGGGCUGCUUAGCACAGCUUCUCUGGGCCUCGGCCUAACUUUCCCAAACAACACAGCACUUUUAGGCACUCUCCACUGAAUACAACUUCAACAACUUGUUAAUAGAAUUCUGCCAGAAAAACUUAAUUUGAAAUUUAAAAAUUAAAUCACAGGAUGCAUAUCUUCUGGGGUCACACAUCCAGAGAAAGGGGGAACAUCCUUCACUGAUACUGGGUUACUACAGAUCUGGGAUUUUACACGGCGCAUUAACAAGAAAAAUCAGUGUGUCUCAAGGCCUUAAUGUUGCAAAGGUCAAAACAGUUACAAAAUCUCUGAUUUCCAGAUUUCUCCGUUUUGUCAUCAAGUAUUCAAUUACUCAAACCUGGUUAUUUACAACAAAGUAAAUAAAUAAAUCAAUAAAAACAAACA